rnacentral:rRNA from 1 species
CCUACGGGGUGCAGCAGUGGGGAAUAUUGGACAAUGGGCGAAAGCCUGAUCCAGCCAUGCCGCGUGUGUGAAGAAGGCCUUCGGGUUGUAAAGCACUUUCAGUGGGGAAGAAAGCCUUGGGGCUAAUACCCUCGAGGAAGGACAUCACCCACAGAAGAAGCACCGGCUAACUCCGUGCCAGUAGCCGCGGUAAUACGGAGGGUGCGAGCGUUAAUCGGAAUUACUGGGCGUAAAGCGCGCGUAGGCGGUCUGAUAAGCCGGUUGUGAAAGCCCCGGGCUCAACCUGGGAACGGCAUCCGGAACUGUCAGGCUAGAGUGCAGGAGAGGAAGGUAGAAUUCCCGGUGUAGCGGUGAAAUGCGUAGAGAUCGGGAGGAAUACCAGUGGCGAAGGCGGCCUUCUGGACUGACACUGACGCUGAGGUGCGAAAGCGUGGGUAGCAAACAGGAUUAGAUACCCCUGUAGUC